GUGGGAAUAGUUCAGUGGUUAGAACACAACUUAGUUAAAGUUGAGACGCGAGUCCGAUUCUUGCUUCCCACA
rnacentral:tRNA from 1 species